rnacentral:misc_RNA from 1 species
UUUCUAAGGAUGAUCUUCAGCGAGCUCACGCUCACUAUCGGAUCGUUUUAGAAACAUCAGUGGCCAACAGAUCGCCAGAUCGUUGAGCUGCAUUGGCGGGAUUUCGCCGUCUUCGUUUCUCUUUCUUCGCGGACGAACACGCGCUGGGCCUGCAACGGCAGGAUCCAGGGUCCUUAACGGGAUGUGCGUUAGGGGCUUGUAGCUCAGUUGGUUAGAGCGCGCGCUUGAUAAGCGUGAGGUCGGAAGUUCAAGUCUUCCCAGGCCCACCACUUUCAUCGAGUGAGCAUUCGUCUUCUGGUUACGGGGCCAUAGCUCAGCUGGGAGAGCGCGUGCUUUGCAAGCAUGAGGUCGUCGGUUCGAUCCCGUCUGGCUCCACCAGAUGGUUUGAUCACCGAGAUCUUGACCGUCGUCCGCGAAACAUCACUUCGCAUCCUGCUAGUCUGGAUAGACAGCAGUUUGCGUGUUUUCUGACAUCGUAAAGAGGAGAUCGAUCCGAGUUGGGUCGUGCAGCAUAUCGUUGCGCGAGCCUUCAUUAUCUCCGGAUCAUUUCGGCGCUCGCUUCCAGCCGUGAGGUUGGAUGCGGGUUGUAAAUGAUCCUUUUAGCGAAGCUUGACCGCCUCGCUAUCGGAACGAUCUUACGAAGCAAGCUGGUCUUUCUAGUCAAUGUCCGGCUGCGGAUAGCGUUCAUCGAGGGCGCGUGCCGCAAGGCAAUUCUGCAGACAACAUUCUGCCGAGUGUGUGGACAUUGAUAAUGAGAGCAAUCAAGUGCCUUAAGGGUGUUCGGUGGAUGCCUUGGCGCUGAGAGGCGAUGAAGGACGUGCUACGCUGCGAUAAGCCGUGGGGAGCUGCGAAGAAGCUUUGAUCCGCGGAU